CAGGCUGACGUGGCGGCCCCGGCGUCCUCGGCGCGUGCUGGGGGCGCAGGCGCGCGGGGUUCAAUACAACCUAGGGGCUUCGUGGGGUAGCUUUGGGGAGAUGGUUCUCAGGCCCUGCGCUCCUUUGGCGAGAAUCCGGGUGGGAAAGAGCACUCAUCAUUGACUGAUGGUUGUCUUUGUUUCCUUGGCUGCUGUCUGUCUCACUGCACUAGAUGGUAAGCUUUAAAGGCCAAGGGUGUCUUGUUCACCAUUGUAUCUCCAGCUCCUGGAACCGUGCCUGGCACAGAGCACACACUGCAUUAAUAUGUCAUGUGUGAAUAGAUAAAAGAAUGGAGACUGUCAUAGGUAAAAUUCUAAGGUAUCCCGGAAUUCCCAUCCCCUGAUAGAUAUGCCCUGUAUAAUCCCUGGGGCUGUAAAUAUGGGAUAUCACCCCUGUGAUUAGGUUAUAUUAUAUGUCACAGUUGUCUUUAUGAAGGGGGGAUUGUCUGGGUAGGCCUAACCAAUCACAUAGCCCUUUAAAUCUGGACCUGGAUGUCAUAAGCAAAGGAAGUAAGAGUUUCAAAGCACAAGGAGGAUCUGCAUGGCAAGGGACUGCAGGAAGCCUCUAAGAGCUGAGAGGAGUCCCAGCCAACAGCCAGCCAGAGAGCAGGGACCUCAGUCCUACCACUGCAAGGAACUGAAUGCAGUCCGCAAUCUGUAUGAGGUUGGAAGCAGAGUCUUCCCAGAGCACCUAGAAAGGAACACAGCCCAGCAACACCUGGACUCCGGCCUGCGAAGACCCUAAGCAGAGAAUCCUGUCAUGCUGUACCUGGACUGCAGACCUACAGGCAGAGUGUGCCUAUGUGACUGGCCCCCAGUAAAAACUUUGGGUACUGAGUCCUAACAGGCUUCCCUGGUCAAUAUAUUUCACAAGUAUCAUCACAACUUGUUCCUGGAGGAAUUAAGUGUGUCCUGUGUGACUCCACUGGGAGAAAACUCUUGGAAGUUUGGCCAUUGUUUCCUCCGGAUAUCACUCCAUGUACCUUUACCCUUUGCUAAUUUUGCCGUGUAUCCUCUGUCUGUAAUACAUCAUAGCAAUGAAUAUAGCUGUAUGUGAAAUCCUGUGGGUCCUUCUAACAAAUCAUUGAGUCUGGGGGUGGUCUUGGGGACCACCUCUACAAGGCUAUCCUUAUCUAUAAAAUUAGCAUGAAGAUUU